CAGUAGCCACGGUAACACGUAGGGUGCAAGCGUUAAUCGGAAUUACUGGGCGUAAAGCGUGCGCAGGCGGUUAUAUAAGACAGAUGUGAAAUCCCCGGGCUCAACCUGGGAACUGCAUUUGUGACUGUAUAGCUAGAGUACGGCAGAGGGGGAUGGAAUUCCGCGUGUAGCAGUGAAAUGCGUAGAUAUGCGGAGGAACACCGAUGGCGAAGGCAAUCCCCUGGGCCUGUACUGACGCUCAUGCACGAAAGCGUGGGGAGCAAACAGGAUUAGAUACCCCCGUAGUCCCUGUCUCUUAUAC
rnacentral:rRNA from 1 species